GUUGGAAAUGGAUGGACUGUUUCAGGAAAAACCUUCAAGUCACAUAUCAUAUAUGCAAUCUAAGACUUACUAAACCAGUCGACUUAGUUGGCUUACUGCAAAACAAGAACCAUUACUGACCACCUACUUCUGUGUUGGACUACAAGGUGAAACAGCCAUUCUGUUAGAAGGAACAACAUUACAAUGUGAUGGACUACAAGGUGAAACAGCCAUUCUGUUAGAAGGAACAACAUUACAAUGUGAUGGACUACAAGGUGAAACAGCCAUUCUGUUAGAAGGAACAACAUUACAAUGUGAUGGACUACAAGGUGAAACAGCCAUUCUGUUAGAAGGAACAACAUUACAAUGUGAUGAUAUCAGGAUCUCCAAUGUGUUUUUCAUCUGAGUUUUACUGUAUGACUCCAAAUACUUUUAUGAUUGUUUAUAGUUUUUAGCUAAAUUCAUGCAUUAAAUUAUUAUAUUUUUGAGGACAUAAUGUCUUCUGUUUAAUUCAGAUGCCUUUUGUGAUGAAUUAAAUGAGUAUAAAAUGCAUCAUUCAGAAUAAUAUGAUGGGAUACUACUAGUAUUGCUUGCUGGACAUAUAACAGUACUGUAAGUUGUCACUGUCCAGUGAUAUUCUAAGUGGUCUUUUUUAGCAGUCUGUCCCUUUCACUUUGACAGUGAUGCUCUAAUGAUGUCAUAUCAUCAUGUGCUAACUGUCCUCAUGAUGCAGUAAUGCUGAUGAAAGAUGCUGUUGCCCAU
rnacentral:lncRNA from 1 species